UACGGAGGGGGCUAGCGUUGUUCGGAAUUACUGGGCGUAAAGCGCACGUAGGUGGAUUGCUAAGUCAGGGGUGAAAUCCCGAGGCUCAACCUCGGAACUGCCUUUGAUACUGGCAAUCUCGAGUCCGGGAGAGGUGAGUGGAAUUCCUAGUGUAGAGGUGAAAUUCGUAGAUAUUAGGAAGAACACCAGUGGCGAAGGCGGCUCACUGGCCCGGUACUGACACUGAGGUGCGACAGCGUGGGGAGCAAACAGG
rnacentral:rRNA from 1 species